rnacentral:rRNA from 1 species
AUGGUGUGUGUGAAAUCAAUGAAAUAUUAUGUCAAAUUCAAUGGACAAUUGUUUGAGAGUUUCAUUUCCUCUAGAGGACUAAGGCAAGGUGACCCUUUAUCCCCUUUCUUAUUUCUUUUUGUUGCUGACGCCCUGUCUGCACUCUUCUCAAAAUCAGUUGGUGAAGGUUCUCUAAAGGGGGUGGCUAUCUGCCGUGGUGCACCAGUUAUUUCUCACUUGCUAUUUGCGGAUGAUACUAUGCUGCUGUUUGAAGCGUCUGGCCAGCAGGCGAGCAUUGUUAAGGGGUUGUUGAACACUUAUACUUCAGCGACGGGUCAACUCAUUAACCUAGAGAAGUGUUCCAUCCUUUUCUCAGACAAUUACUCUGUUGCGGUGGCGGAUGAAGUCAAGUGCACCCUUGAGGUUAUGCAACAGGUGUUUGAGCCAAAGUACCUCAGCCUUCCUGUGCUGAAGGAAGAUUGCAUAAGGGACAAUUUGAAUCACUUCAGGAAAGAUUGA